rfam:Cajanus cajan CcLG07_848, whole genome shotgun sequence.
ACAUGCAUUUGCUUUUCAGUACCUUAUCUCAUCAGAACUCCACAGUUAAGCGUGCUUGACUUGGAGUAAUACAUGGACGGGUGACCUUCUCAGAAGUUUCCUAGAAAAUGUGUA